GAGCUGGACUCAGCCCCCGCCCCACGUUGGCUCGCGGGCCCCCGCAGGUGUGGGGGGGACGGCCGAGCGCUGUUUGUUGCGCGCGCGCUGUUCUCGGUUGCUGGGCUUUCUCUGGUCCUUCCGCUAGCCCCGGAUCCUCACCCCUCUCGGUAUCUGUGAUUGUAUAUCUUCAGAGAAGAGUCCUACAAGUGAGAUUGCUAGAUUAAAAGGUUCCUGAUCAGAGAUUUUAAGUGUCUCCUUGGCAGGUGGUGCGUGGCAUACAUCUCUGUGUUCACACAGGGCCCAGCAGAGCUCUUUGGAGUAAGGAGUGCUCAAUACGAAAAUUAAUGGAUUUUCCCUAAGGCUAUUAGUGUGUGUGACUUUUUUGAAAGGGUGGGAUAGUUCAACAAAAUUGGAUUUUGCUGUAUGUAAUGGUUGGAAACUACAUUAAGUUUAUGAUGACAUCAGCAAAUGAAUAAUGAAACAGUUGUCUGGAAUUUUAAAAAAUUACCUGCAUUAUAUAAAGACUGGCUACCAGCACGGAUGAUACAUACUGAAAGUCCCUUUUUCUAAAGACUGAAGAUUAUGUUUUUGCACUUAAAUGAAACAGUUGCCUGAACAUUUUACAUUUGUUUCCUUAUCUGCGUUGAGUCUUGGACUGUCUCUGUGAGGUCACACAUGUUGAUGAAAAUUGGAAAAUAAGGUAACCAUCAAGAUGUUGAUAUAAUCACAACAUAAAUGAAAGAAUAAGCAUGCAGUUGUAGUCAGAGAGCUUGUACCUAUUGAUUUGCAUCACAAUAUUAUAUUUACAUGGUAAAUUUACAUAGUAAAGCCAUUCCAAUUGUUGUGAUAUUGCCCAGCCACUAAAAUUCAUGAUCUUGAAGAUAAUGUGGCAACAUGGGACAAAAUGUUUGUGUUCUAAUAUUUCACUAGGAAAUCAGUAUUCAUUGUCAAAUAAUUUUAUAGAAAAGAAUUGUGCAUAGAAAAGGAGCAAAAAGGAAAUAUACCAAAAUAAUAACAAUGGCUUUGUUAAGGUGGUAGCAGUCUGAGUGCUUCUUUCUUAUCUCUAGUUAUAUUACUUCUGUAACAGAAAACAAAUUUACAAGUGCAAAGAAAAUGAGUUCUAUAAAAGAAAGUAUAGUAAACAUGUUAUUCAUGGCAGCCUCAAAUCUGCUGAAAAACCACCCCACGCCUUAUAGUUCCCCACAUUGUGAAUUCUAUCCUCCCGAAGUAAAUUCUAAAAUUUAACAUUUUGUAACCUCCCUAGCCUCUGAGUCUAAGGUGAGGUCCUGUAAUUAGUUUCUGCCUCUCAGUUGUAUCUGUCAGAAACUACCUGUAGAGCAGACAGGGCCCUGACGUCCACUCUGCUGGCACAGUUGGCUUCAAUGUCAUGGUCCUGGGGUUAGCUAUGAGAACAGUAUCUUCCCUAUUGCAACAAAGACUGGUGGGUUCUAGGGCUGGUGGUAGCUUGGCCUAGAACCUGUUCCUCCUGCCUUUCCAAUGAUUACCUGGACUUUGUAAUCCCCCUUCAUGAAUCCCUUCUCAUUUAAAUGACCUAGACUUGAUUCUUUGUCUACACCUAAGAAUGCUAACAGGAGGCUAACAAAGUAGAAUUCACCUAAAAAAAGAGGAGGUGACAUAAUUAAAGACGAGCAUUCUGAACUUCAAAAGAAUAUUGUGAUCAAAUAAAAGACCUUUUUAGCACAUAAAUCUCUUGAGUGUCAUUUCUGGGCAAAGCAUCUAAGAGCUGGUGUGAGACCCUGUGGCUCUCUUUUCUGUGGCAGCAACCAUGGGGCCUCAUGUUCAGAUGAUGCAGCUACAAGAUGUCAGAUUCCCCAUCAGCCCAGGUACUUGAGAGACUGUGUGAAAGAGAGCCCCCCACUGACUCAGAGAGUACAGUUAAUGUGAGCAAGAAAUAAACCUCUGUUAGGUGAGGCCACUGAGAUUUGAGAGUUAAUUUGCUACCAUGGCAUAGCCUCGUAUAACAGAACCUGAUUAAUACACAGUGGUAUCAAAAAUGGGAUGUGUUUAAUGAUCAAAAUCAAUAAAUAUAUGUUUGAAAAC